CUUGACAUUAGUUCAAUUGAUGAGGGCGAGUCCAAAAAUAAGUUAGGAUUAUGAUAAACAAAAGGUCCACUUCUCGUUCAUUGUAACAAAAGAAUUUCAGCCAGCAUAAAUAAUUUGGGUUCCAUAUACAUACAUCUAUUGAUGAAAUAUUAAAAAUUCCAGCAAUUAAAUGUAGAUUUUGAAUUUUAAUCAUGUACAUACAAAAGGUAUAUAUAUAUAUAUAUAUAUUUUUUCUUCUAACAAAAGGUGCUUGGGCGCCAAAAAUUUUCGUGACACCAAAAAUCCCACUGGCACAAAUUGUUGUGGGCAGCAAAAGACGAGAGUUUGAAGGCAUACACAUAUCAUGUGUCCAGAACGGAGUUUGAAGGUCUGCAAAUUCACAGCAUAUAUUUUUCUCUUUCUCAGGAUGCUUCCUCCGGUGUUACAAAAUACACAAUGGUUGGCUUGCAAUUGAGAGGAUAAUUUUAAGUUCAAACUAUAUUUGAUGGGGUGCGCCAGGCUCAUGCAGUAGUGCAACGCUUGAGCAACGCGCAAGAGUCCCAAUAGCAAGCUACUGUGGUGGACCCUCCUCCUAAAAAAAUUAAUUUAAUAUCAUGUGAACCAUUGGUCCACGUAUCAGAUAUUAAACUGAUAAGAACAGAUACUACACUUGAUCUUAGCCAAAAG
rnacentral:lncRNA from 1 species